UACGUAGGGUGCGAGCGUUGUCCGGAAUUAUUGGGCGUAAAGAGCUUGUAGGCGGUUUGUCGCGUCUGCCGUGAAAAUCCGGGGCUCAACCCCGGACUUGCGGUGGGUACGGGCAGACUAGAGUGUGGUAGGGGAGACUGGAAUUCCUGGUGUAGCGGUGAAAUGCGCAGAUAUCAGGAGGAACACCGAUGGCGAAGGCAGGUCUCUGGGCCACUACUGACGCUGAGAAGCAAAAGCGUGGGGAGCGAACAGG
rnacentral:rRNA from 1 species